UGAUUCUAUAAAUCUCAUGAGACAAAUCAAAGUGUCUGGUCUGCAAAGCAUACGUUGGACUCUGUGGUGGUUAGGCAGUCAAGAAGUAAAUGUUUCAGGCAAGCUGUUUGUAUUACAACCUCUGAUUUUACAAGAAGUUAGUGCUGUAAAUGGACAUGAUACACAAAGCUGUCCCUAAGGCUGUAUUUUAGUCUCAAGUUACUCCUUAGGGCAAAAUUGUAAUAGAACUAUGCCUGAGAGUGAAAUUGUCAUUCAGAUACAUUUUCUGGGAUAUAACUUAAAAUUAUUGCUCUCACCCACCUUGAUGAAUGAGCAAUAUGAGGAAUACAGUUCUAGAGCUCAUAAAAUGGUAUCUCUGUGCUGUGUCAUUUCUUCUGGUAGACGAGAGGAGUGAGCCAGCACAGGUUUAUUCUGUACGGGGUUUGUCUAUUACUGCCGCUUUUUAGUUUUGUUCUUUGGUAUCGUGGUUUAACCCGGCUGGCAACUAAGCACCACUUACCAGUUUAGAUUUCUCUGUCUCAUUCUUAUCUACAAGAGAGGGUAAUUUUUUAUUGUUUGUUUUCUAUCAACAGUUUUUGUUUAAUACCCCAACACAGUGGAAAAGCUGGGACUAAAAUUAGAGGCUUGUGUUUCGGCACUAAAACAAAUAUAUCUAUAAGAUGACUGUUACCCUAGCUGCAGCCAAAGAAAAGGCACGGAAAAAAUAUGGAAAGUUUUGUGUCCUGGCUGGGUGUGUUCUCUGCUUUCAGAAAGACCAUAAUCAAUCUCUCAGCUGGUAUUUCUCUGUCCUGGAGAACAGAUUUACUAGUAGUGGGAAGGAAUUUUUUAGUAAAACCUGGAAUACGAUACCGUAUAAUCGUUCUUUGAUAAUAUACACUUCUAUUAGCGUCAGUCAUCAUCUUGCUCACCCAUGUGAGACACAUGACAAGAGAAAUUCCUAGAGGUACCAAAAAAGAUGCAGGUUAUUAUAGCGAGGUCUGGAAUGUAUUUGCUGAAACGAAGGCAGCCCAAAUCAGAUUACCAGUCUGCUCCUGUACAAAUAUUGGAAUGAUGACUGUGAAUCUUUACUACUCAGCUGCCAUUUUGUGAAGUGUUUCUUUGUCAAAUCUGAAAAGGUGCCCACCGUCUCCAGUUGAGACAUCUGAAGCUCCGCGGUUUCUAUAAUACUCUACAGAUGGUUGUUCCCGAUAAUUACAAGGAACUGUAGCCACAGCUCUGUAUUAAUAAUUUAUAGUAAAGCUGCUAUGCAAUGGCUUUAAAAAAGCAAAUCAAAUCUACAUUAUGCCAUGCUUGUGAGUCCUCAUUUUAAACAUACGUGCCUGACUUGAUCUCUUUAAGACUUCAGACCCAACACACAAACCUGUUAAAGAAUGAAAAAUGACCAUAAGUAUAGAGGAAAAGUUGCAUUGCAAGACAUGGUUUUAUUAGUUUUAGUGAAACCCUUUGAAAUGCCUCUCAAAUAUAUCAUUAAGUCACUUAAACUUAAAAGCUUGACCUGAAAGUUCAAUAUAGUUUCUUUCAUAAUGCAGGAAUAUAAUAAAAGGAAGAACGUAUACUGUAAUUUUUAUAUGAUAUAAGUUACAUAUUUUUGAAAAAUCCAAUGUCUUAAAGAACUGGGUUACAUGAUUAUUUUUAUAAUACAGAAAUACUUUAAUGCAUUUUUUAUUUAUGAUUGAUUGUAUUCUUUAUCUAGAAAUUUGGAACUUGUUGAUAUUAAUUUUUGUUUACGUAAACCUGAUUGUAAUACUUGAUUUUGUGAUAUCCUUGUGAAGCACCUGAAAAUAAAGGGUGAGGAGAUACUUUUUAAAAAUUAAGUUUAACUUUUCUAUGUUGUCUCAUCUGUAGGGCAAGUUGUCCAUUCCUUUUCUCUAUAAGCACAUUUUAAAAGCUAAUUUGCAAACAUGACAAGUCACACCUGUUUCACUCAUGUUGGGGGAAAAAACUUCGCCCCUGAAGUACUGAAACAUACAUUCCUGGACGAAGUCACCGAAGUAACACGCAGGGCAUAUUAAUGUUCAGCAUUCAGUUGUUUGUGUGUCUUAAAUUUUGAGAAGUGCUUUGAUUUUCUUUUCUUGGUAGUUUCUUCUAAAGAAUGCUGUAGCUCAGAACUUGGAAAAAAGAAGGCUUUUAUCCAUACUGGAGGAAUGACACAUAUCGUUAAAAGGAGGAGGCAGACAGCAAAUACAAUUACCUCAGUAGGGCUCCCUGAUGAUCUUCCAGCAGUCCUAAAUAUCAGUAUUUGAGAAAUACGUAGCUUGCUUUCUGUUUGCGCCUCCCUUGGAACCUCUGCGGCACAACGGUAGUAGAAAGAGCGUUCUCCAAAGCCAUCUUGAAGCAGAUCUGAAAUUAAGAUUAAAGCUAAUGAGCAGCUGACCAGCUUCCAUCAAUAAUUUUGCCCCAGGUAAAGGUGUUGUGUGUAUCACACAACCUGAAGUACCGGCAUUCAGCAGCUGUGAGCUGGAACCAGAGGGGAAAUCCCUGUUAACUGGAAGCACAAAGCAUGUGUAUGAACUGGUACGUCUUACUUCUGUGUUACAUCUGAAGAAGGAUCACGCAAUUUUUUUUACUGAGGUAUAUGUUAUUUUCUCUGUCCUGUGUGUGUGAUUCUGGGAUCUCUUGUAAAGCAAUUUCUGCCAAGGCUAAGAAUCAGUCUCAUCCUCUGCUGUAAAAUGAAGUGCUCUUGGGCUUUCAGCCAAAGCAAUAUUCGUUCAAGAAUUUGCUAGGCAUUGUUUUUUACAGAUUGUUAUAGAUGUUUCCGGAAAAAGUUUGUUUUGCUAGGCAUUUUAGGAAGAAACCGAAAACAAUAGAUGGAGCAUUGUAAUACCACUGCACAAAUCUUAAUUAUGCCUACAUUUUGACUAGUGAAUGUAAUUUUGAGCCCCCAUCUCAGCAAGCAAUGUAGUAUAUUGAGAAUUUCGGGGU